rnacentral:rRNA from 1 species
UGGGGAAUAUUGCACAAUGGGCGCAAGCCUGAUGCAGCCAUGCCGCGUGUAUGAAGAAGGCCUUCGGGUUGUAAAGUACUUUCAGCGGGGAGGAAGGGAGUAAAGUUAAUACCUUUGCUCAUUGACGUUACCCGCAGAAGAAGCACCGGCUAACUCCGUGCCAGCAGCCGCGGUAAUACGGAGGGUGCAAGCGUUAAUCGGAAUUACUGGGCGUAAAGCGCACGCAGGCGGUUUGUUAAGUCAGAUGUGAAAUCCCCGGGCUCAACCUGGGAACUGCAUCUGAUACUGGCAAGCUUGAGUCUCGUAGAGGGGGGUAGAAUUCCGGGUGUAGCGGUGAAAUGCGUAGAGAUCUGGAGGAAUACCAGUGGCGAAGGCGGCCCCCUGGACGAAGACUGACGCUCAGGUGCGAAAGCGUGGGGAGCAAACAGG